ensembl:misc_RNA Vault Vault RNA
GAGCUGACUGUAGCUCAGCAGUUCCUUUGAAUCACUUGCCAACCACUCCUGCUUGCGAGGGUUGUUUGAGACCCGCGGGUCUCCUCCAGCCCUUUA